AGUAACGCGUGGGCAACCUGCCCCCAUAGAGGGGGACAACAGCUGGAAACGGCUGCUAAUACCGCAUAACAAGGAGAGAGCGCAUGUUCUUUUCUUCAAAGAUUUAUCGCUAUGGGAUGGACCCGCGUCUGAUUAGCUGGUUGGUGAGGUAACGGCUCACCAAGGCGACGAUCAGUAGCCGGCUUGAGAGAGUGGACGGCCACAUUGGGACUGAGACACGGCCCAGACUCCUACGGGAGGCAGCAG
rnacentral:rRNA from 1 species